rnacentral:rRNA from 1 species
GACGAACGCUGGCGGCGUGCUUAACACAUGCAAGUCGAACGAAGUGGCGAACGGGUGAGUAAUACGUGGGUAACCUGCCCUCCUUUUUGGGAUAAGCCUUGGAAACGGGGUCUAAUACCGAAUAAAGGGGGAUGGGCUCGCGGCCUAUCAGCUUGUUGGUGGGGUGAUGGCCUACCAAGGCGGUGACGGGUAGCCGGCCUGAGAGGGUGAACGGCCACAUUGGAACUGAGAUACGGGCCAGACUACCACGGGAGGCAGCAGUGGGGGAUAUGGGACAAUGGACGAGAGCCUGAUGCAGCGACGCCGCGUGAGUGAUGACGGCCUUCGGGUUGUAAAGCUCUGUUGAUCGGGACGGAAGACCGGAAUAGAGAGCCACGGCUAACUACGUGACAGCAGCCGCGGUAGUUG